rnacentral:rRNA from 1 species
CAGCACCUCAAGUGGUCAGGAUGAUUAUUGGGCCUAAAGCAUCCGUAGCCGGCGCUGUAAGUUUUCGGUUAAAUCUGUACGCUCAACGUACAGGCUGCCGGGAAUACUGCAGCGCUAGGGAGUGGGAGAGGUAGACGGUACUCGGUAGGAAGGGGUAAAAUCCUUUGAUCUAUUGAUGACCACCUGUGGCGAAGGCGGUCUACCAGAACACGUCCGACGGUGAGGGAUGAAAGCUGGGGGAGCAAACCGGAUUAGACACCCGAGUAGUCC